AUCUAUAGCCAUACCACCCUGAACACGCCUGAUCUUGUCUGAUCUCAGAAGCUAAGCAGGGUAGGGCCUGGUUAGUACUUGCAUGGGAGAAAUGCAGAAGACCUGUAGGCA
rnacentral:rRNA from 1 species